CAAACUGAGGCAAAAUUCUAUUUU
rnacentral:misc_RNA from 1 species